GGUCCCGCCUGCCCUGUGACCCCCUGUUCAACGGCCGCGGUAUUUUAACCGUGCAAAGGUAGCGCAAUCACUUGUCCCUCAAAUGAGGACCUGUAUGAACGGUAUGACGAGGGCUUAACUGUCUCCUUUCCCCGGUCAAUGAAAUUGAUCUUCCCGUGCAGAAGCGGGAAUCCUAACAUAAGACGAGAAGACCCUAUGGAGCUUUAGACUCGAAACAGAUCAUGUCAGCUACUUCCCUUAGAUAUAGUAGCAACUACUGAAUCUCUGUUCUCUGUCUUUGGUUGGGGCGACCACGGGGAAGAAAAAAUCCCCCAUGUGGACCGGGAGCACCCAUAACUCACUCCCACAACCAUGAGCCACAGCUCUAAUGCGCAGAACUUCUGACCAUAAUAGAUCCAGCAACUAGCUGAUCAACGGACCAAGUUACCCUAGGGAUAACAGCGCAAUCCCCUUUAAGAGUCCCUAUCGACAAGGGGGUUUACGACCUCGAUGUUGGAUCAAGACAUCCUAAUGGUGCAACCGCUAUUAAGGGUUCGUUUGUUCAACGAUUAAAGUCUU
rnacentral:rRNA from 1 species